AGAGGUGUGAGAACAGUAUCCUCAGCAAGACCUGAUCCUGACGGUGACUCUACAAUACACCUGGGGGAGGAGUGUAACUGGAAAAUCAGUAUUAAAAUAAUUAAAAUGCAAAUAAGUAUUCUUUUUAAUUAUAGUUUUAGUGAUUAAUUUCUAGAAAUUUUUCAACUGCAAACAAUUUUGCAUUUGAGUCAUUUAUAACACAGGGAAGCAGUCCAAACUACUCAUCUGCAUAAUAUCACUCAUGUUUGUUAGUGCUUUCAAGAUCAGGGCGUUGGUCAGUAAUCUGUUUGAGGUAGGAAAAAAAUAUCUUAUGUGGUGUCUAUGGGCUUGUCUGCACUACCAGCCAGAUUGGCGGGCAGCGAUCAAUCCAACGGGGGUCGAUUUAUCACAUCUAGAUGCGAUAAAUCAAUCGCUGAGCGCUCCCCCAUUGACUCCAGUACUCCACCAGAACAAGAAGUGCAAGUGGAGUCGACGGGAGAGUGUCAGCUGUCGACUUACCGCAGUGAAGACACCGCGGUAAGUAGAUCUAAGUACGUCGACUUCAGCUACAUUAUUCACGUAGCUGAAGUUGCAUAUCUUAGAUCAGGGCUCUCAAACAUGUGACCCGCAAAGUUAUUUCCUGUGGCCCACCAUAGCUCCCCUCACCCCCCGCUUCCACCACCCCCAGCACGCUGCGUCCCAGCUCUUCCACCUGCCUGCAAACAGCUGUUUGGCGGCGCUUAGGACUUUCCAGGAGGGAGCUGCGGGGACACAGCGUGCUCAGGGAAGCUAGUGGGAGCGCUGCGAACACAGGCUGGAGGACUCAGGAGGAGCACAGGGUGGCUGUGCAGCCGGCUGGAGAGAAGCAGCACUUUGAAGGAGAAACCACCGCUUCUCUCCGGCCGCUCCUGCUCCUCCGGAGUCCUCCGGCCAUGUUUGUAGGGCCGCAUUCCAAAAGGGGCUUUAGAGCUGCAGUCCAGAGCCUUGCAGCCCCUAAAGCCCCUGCAAUCCAGGCAGCCCUGCCUGGCAGGGGGCAGCUUCCAGAAUCGCAGCCAUGGGGGCGGUGUUACGCUGCACAGAGCCACCUGCACCCCCCCCCCGCACCAAACAGGAGCUGCCCAAGGUAAAUGCUCUGCACCCCUUGCCUGCCCCAGCCCUGUGCUCCCUCCCAAACCCUAAGUCCCUAACUCCCUCCCAGAUCCUGCACCCCCAGCCCUGAGCCCCAGAAGGAGACUGGAAAAAAAAAGAAUGAAAAACAAGGGGGGGAGAGAAUGCUCCCCCCACAGGGAGGCCCAAAAAUGAAGCUGAGCACAGGGUCCCACUAACUCUAAAUCUGCCACUGUGAAAAGGUGUCAGUGAUGCAGCCCUUGGGCCAAUGUACUAGUCCUCAUGUGGCCCUUGUGGUGAUUUGAGUUUGAGAUCCCUGCCUUAGAUCAACCCUGCAUGGUACUGUAGACAAGGGCUAUGGAACAGCUUGCACAGUAAGGUCACUAUCUUGAUUGUGGCCUGCAGGCAUUAAUGUAGAACAACAAUAAAACAGUGCCUGGUGUCUAUGCUGGAGUUUGUUGUGGUCAGAAGUGUAAGGGCAUAAAUUUAAGAUACAGUAAGGGCUUUUCUACCCUACCACGCGGGGUUGAUCUAAGAUACGCAACUUCAGCUAAGUGAAUAGCGUAGCUGAAGUCUACACACUUAGAUCUACUUAUCGCGGUGUCUUCACUGCGGUAAGUCGACAGCUGAUGCUCUCCCGUCGACUCUGCUUGCACUUCUCGUUCUGGUGGAGUACCGGAGUCGAUGGGAGAGCGCUCAGCAGUCAAUUUAUACUAGACGCAAUAAAUCAAGCCCCGCUGGAUCGAUCGCUGCCUGCCAAUCUGGCAGGUACUGUAGACAAGCCCUUAAGGGACUUAACAAUAGGAGGGAGUCAGGGAACAAGACCAAAAAUAAGCAGUAAGAUCCUGCAUUUACAUAGUAACUACUGCAAAAAAAAUUAUGAUGUCUGAUUCAUUUAGAAUGUUGGGUGUUUUUGCUUGUUUUAUCAGUCCUUUGGGUGUCUUUGUUUUUAAUUGUUUCUCUGUGACCAUCGCUACUCUAGACUGCCAAGCCACUUCAGAGACUGUCUAUUAAGCACAAGAGCAUUAAACUGUUUGGUGAUUUUAUAAGGUCGCAUGUCCACUGGAGCUCAAUUGAGAUAAAAAAAUAUUCAAAUCCUAUGACUGCUAAAAGUAAUUUCAUGUGGUCUUUAAAAACAUGUCAAGCUGGUAAAGUCACAUACAAAGACAACCGUCCUGAAGUAGGUAUGAAUCAAAAUACUCAUGUGCAGCAAGAGAUUCCAGAGAACUGGCCACACCUUACAGAAAAAUAUAUACAAACUACAUUUUAGAGGAAAAUAAAUCUUAAUCAAUGCUGUUGGGUUUUUUUAUUAUUCUAGUCAGGAAAGUCUGUUAGUUAUCUUUUAAUUCUUCCUACCUUGCCUCUUCUGAGUCAAUUAUCUCUUGGUUCUCUUUAAACCAAGUGUAAAAGGUGUUAUGUAUGCGCUCAGAUUAUGAAUUUGUGCAAUAAACAGUUCAAGUACAAAUACUUCUAGUUUCAGGAUACAACGGCUAAUACACAGCAUAGUCUUAAAGAGAGAAGAUAGAAAUCUGUAUAAAUGCCAAGUCAUCAUUACAGGAAGCUUAGCCUGGGUCUCUGAAACCUCCAAAGGAAGUUGCAAGAGAGGCUUAAAACUGUGCUUACAGUGUAGUUUUGUGGCUUUUAUAGCUGAUAAUUUUAUUAUUUUGUUUUGGGUAUACUAAGUGUUAAACAAUGUUGCUAACCCCAAAAACAAAAAUCAUGAAUCAAGACCAGAAAACACAAGAUUAAAAAAAGAGAGGAGGGAGGAGGUCUUUUGAUUUUCUUUCUGAGCCUUUACAAUGCAUUUGCUUCUACGUUUUCAAGUUUUUAUCUGCAGCCAUUGGGGCUAGAAACUUCAUGUAAAAUAAAAACAAAAGCAGAGAUACACUUGUACUCACAUGAAUCCAGAUGCUGGGACUUUUAAGAAAAACACCAAAUACCGUCCUACAUAAAUACAACUCUUUUUUCAAAGAUAGAUAUGGGGGACAUCGGUGGCAACUGGUUGAGCUGUAAACUAUGUUCCUAAAAAGUUAAGCAGCUGUUAAUUUUGCUCUCUAUGUUUGCUUAAAGGCUACUUUCUACAAUAGCUGAUUUUUCUUUAAACCUUCACACUACCCUCUUCUCAGGCAGUUCUCCCACUCUUCCUUCCCAACCCUCACACACAUUCUUAGGUCAUGCCUGCUAUUGCUAAAGCAUCCCCAUCCCUGUCUUAGGGAGAGAGGUCUCCCUUAUGUAUACUCCUUCACCCAUCUGAGGUGAGCCACAAGAUCCCCUGGAUAACAUUUCUCUAGAGUACU